rnacentral:rRNA from 1 species
GAUGAACGCUGGCGGCAUGCCUAAGACAUGCAAGUCGAACGAGGUGGCCCAAAGAAGAUUGAGUGCUUGCACAAGAUUGGACUUGGAUUACCACCUAGUGGCGGACGGGUGAGUAACACGUAGGUGACCUGCCUUUGAGUUUGGGAUAACUAUUAGAAAUGAUAGCUAAUACCGGAUUAAAUGCAGAUUCGUUUCUGUAUUAAAAGGAGCCUUUAAAGCUUCGCUUAAAGAUGGGCCUGCGGCGUAUUAGCUAGUUGGUGAGGUAAUGGCUUACCAAGGCGACGAUGCGUAGCCGAACUGAGAGGUUGAUCGGCCACAUUGGGACUGAGACACGGCCCAAACUCCUACGGGAGACAGCAGUUAGGAAUAUUCGUCAAUGGGGAAACCCUGAACGAGCAAUGCCGCGUGAACGAUGAAGGCCCUAAUGGGGUUGUAAAAGGUUUCUGUUGCAUGGGACGAACGAUUAGGAUAGGAAAUGAUCUUAAUGUGACGGUACCAUGACC